AUCAACCCCAUGGCAGUAACACGGCUGAUUUAUCUUAUGAUUCUGGGAACCGCAAUGCUUUGAAUACUUCCGACUACAUCUCGCGAUUCGAGGAAAAAAGACGUUGCAGAGCUGCGGCUGGAAUUUCGUUGAUCCGCUCGUAAACUGAUCAACUUCUGGAAAACGUGCUAAAUUUUUUUUUUAAUUUUUCAGAGAAAAGGCAUCUAAAGUCGGUACAACUUUGGAAAAUAGUCAAAACACCGAUACGGAUCAGAUUGGGUAAUUUUUCUUAAAACAAAAGUUCCAUUCUGCUCAUCUUGGUUAUUGCUGAACAAGCCGACGAGGACCCAAUAACGUCGGAAGCCUUGACGACUAUUUCCCAAACCACAUUAUGUUCAUUAUGUGCCACAGUAGUUAUUAAAAGGUGUUCAUGACUCUAGAAUCAUUCAACCAAACUUCCUGCUGUCAACGCGUGAAUUGUGUAAUAUUGAUCAUAUAUUUCUAUGAUUCUGUGCUUGUUGGCUAAAGAAUCAAAAACAACUUACGAAUAAGAUGUAUUAUAAUAAAAAAUUAAACUUUCAA